ACAUGCCUACAAUAUAAUGUUAAUUCAAUGGAUCCCAUUAGAACUCUACAGUUAAGCACACUUGGGCUAGAGUAGUAUCGGAAUGGGUGAUCGCCUGGGAAUUCCUACUGUUUGACAUGUG
rnacentral:rRNA from 1 species